AUCCAAUUAGGAAUUAACAGAACUUAAGUUUUGAUCAAAUCAGAAAUUAGUUUUUCUUGUAAUUAGGCUUGAUCUAAUCAAAUCCAAUCCAAAUCAAACUGAAUCCAAUUCAAUUAGACUUGGUCCAAACCUCAUUACUCAAUCAAACUAAGUCAAUUAGCAAUCUAAUUGCUAAUAAAUUCUUUAUUAACAGCAGAGUCCCAGUCUAGUGGAACUCUUUAGUAGAGUCCCAAUCCAGUGGGACUCUUCACCAGAUCGGCCAUCUGAUUAGAUCGAAAUUUUUAAUGUGUGUGACCCCAUAGGUUCAAACCUAAACUGGUAGUACAGGAAUAAAUUUUUAUACUAAUUGAUGUAACCAUCUAGCAAUAGGAUCCAAUAUUCGGAUGGGUCGAAAGAUUACAAAGCAACA
rnacentral:lncRNA from 1 species